rnacentral:rRNA from 1 species
UACGUAGGGUGCAAGCGUUAAUCGGAAUACUGGGCGUAAAGCGUGCGCAGGCGGUUGUGUAAGACAGAUGUGAAAUCCCCGGGCUCAACCUGGGAACUGCAUUGUGACUGCACGGCUGGAGUGCGGCAGAGGGGGAUGGAAUUCCGCGUGUAGCAGUGAAAUGCGUAGAUAUGCGGAGGAACACCGAUGGCGAAGGCAAUCCCCUGGGCCUGCACUGACGCUCAUGCACGAAAGCGUGGGGAGCAA